rnacentral:hammerhead_ribozyme from 1 species
CUGCUGAAGAGUCCCAAACUAGGACGAAACGGCUGUCCAG